CCGCAUUUUCGUCAAGCAACACAAAAUUGAACACAACUCAACACAAGCCACGAAAACACUUCUAAAGCAAAUAAUUAUUUUUAUAAACCAUAAAAAACAUGCUAUACCACCAGAAUAAAGAAGUUAAGAAAAAAAUAAAAAAAUAUUGGAACCCGCAGGUUGAGGCAGGUUGGCAGAGGUAGCCAGGCAUCAUGGCGGCCCUUGUCAGUGGAGAGAACGGCCGCUAUUUUGCCUGUUAUUCUUCCAUCGUAACUAAAUGAGGCAAUGGCGGAUAUAUCUAGCUAGCGGAUAUGAAAGCCUAGUCAUGUGGCUCCACUUAGUGACGUGUUAGGCUUACAAUAAGUGACAAAUGAAGCAGAUAUUGGCGGAUAAAUGGGGAAGGCUGCCUCCACCUCAGCUGGUAACAUUAGAUAGUAAUUGACGAACACAACACACCACGUGGAGAGAAGCAAGGUGUGGAGUACCCAAGCCUCUCACAGUCCAUGCUAGUAGACUCACCCUGCAUGUGGAGAUCUCCCAAAAUGCACGGAGGUUAUUCCAGAGCUGCAGGACAGAGUACUUGAGGCCAUUGGUGAACAGAAAGCUGAGGUUGAACAAAGCCAAGAAUUGAUAGCUGCCCAAGGUGUAAGCAAGAUUCACAAUGAUGAGGUCAUUGUGACGUGUGCAAUGUGUCCACUGGUCUUGGCCUUCCUGACCAAGGCAGCCACACAAAGGAAAUUCCACGUUAUUGUUGCCGAACGUGCCCCUAAAUAUUAUGAUGUAAGGGUCACCCAGUGGCAAAAGCUUUAUGUACUGCUGGAAUUGAGACAACAUUAAUUCAAGACUCUGCAGUGUUCCCCAUCAUGUCACGUGUCAACAAGGUCAUCAAAGGUCAUCGUUGGCACCGAGACGGUGGUGACCAACGGAGGCAUUGAGACCUUUGUUGGUGCAGCCUCUCUUGCCUCACCACCAAAGUUUUAUUCUGUUCCACUGUAUGUGUGCACUCCCACAUACAAAUUUAGCUUGAUGGGCUGUGAAGAAACAAGCCACCAAACCACCACUUCUAUUAUCCCAGAGGGAACAAAGUUUUGGCCGUCUGUAAAUACUGCGCUGACUCAGCUAGAUUACGUUCCUCCAGAAAAUGUCACCAGUUUGAUAACUAACAAUCGAGGUACUGCACCAUCCUACGUGUACCGGCAGCUUAGCGAACUGUACCGUCCCACUUCUUGUGUAACAAGAAGGUAACAGCUUUAAUCCUUGCAAAUAAGGAAUAAGAGAAAAGAGACACACCUGCCAUUUGUACUGUUAUGCUGUAGUGUUCUGUCCUUUUUUUCCUCUUUUAUCCUAGAACCAUUUUUGGUCAUUCAUGUUUCUAAAAAUUAUUAUACAAAAAUGUUGAGCUUAAUAUGUUUGGUGUAGUUUUUUGUAACAUGUGUUAUUAUUGUUAAUGUGUGUGGUUCCCCUCAGGAAGAAUGUUGCAGUAUUAGCAGUAAUGUUACAGCCAAUGGAAGUGUCUGUAUUGUGCUUUGGUGGGAGGUUAAUUUGAUGUAUUUUUAGAGUUGUGCAGGAUAUUAUAGCAAGCCCUCAAAAUAAAGAAAAUAACUAUAGAAAACA